rnacentral:lncRNA from 1 species
AGUAUCCGGGACUCCGUUUUACGAUCCGUUGAAUCCUACACGAUCCUAAGGAUAUCUAGAUUAACAUAUAUUAAAUUUAAGACUAUCCAACGGUUCAAACCUAUCGACCUGGAUAGCGCACAAUAGGUGAUAUCCGUUCAAGACUCAAACAGUAUCCAAAAUGAAAUCCGAGCACAUGUACGCACUCGUGAGGACUAAGAGAUUACAUCGGGACACAAUGCCCUUUUUCUACAAUUCCCACAUGAGCCACACAUGCCGG